rnacentral:rRNA from 1 species
GAUGAACGCUAGCGGCAGGCUUAAUACAUGCAAGUCGAGGGGCAGCAUGACUGUAGCAAUACAGUUGAUGGCGACCGGCAAACGGGUGCGGAACACGUACAGAACCUUCCUUCGAGCGGGGAAUAGCCCAGAGAAAUUUGGAUUAAUACCCCAUAGUAUUACGGAGUGGCAUCACUUUGUAAUUAAAGAUUUAUCACUUG